AUCCUGGCUCAGGACGAACGCUGGCGGCGUGCUUAACACAUGCAAGUCGAACGAUGAUGCCCAGCUUGCUGGGCGGAUUAGUGGCGAACGGGUGAGUAAUACGUGAGUAACCUGCCCUUGACUCUGGGAUAAGCCUGGGAAACUGGGUCUAAUACUGGAUACUACCUCUUACCGCAUGGUGGGUGGUGGAAAGGGUUUUACUGGUUUUGGAUGGGCUCACGGCCUAUCAGCUUGUUGGUGGGGUAAUGGCUCACCAAGCCGACGACGGGUAGCCGGCCUGAGAGGGUGACCGGCCACACUGGGACUGAGACACGGCCCAGACUCCUACGGGAGGCAGCAGUGGGGAAUAUUGCACAAUGGGCGGAAGCCUGAUGCAGCGACGCCGCGUGAGGGAUGACGGCCUUCGGGUUGUAAACCUCUUUCAGUAGGGAAGAAGCGAGAGUGACGGUACCUGCAGAAGAAGCGCCGGCUAACUACGUGCCAGCAGCCGCGGUAAUACGUAGGGCGCAAGCGUUGUCCGGAAUUAUUGGGCGUAAAGAGCUCGUAGGCGGUUUGUCGCGUCUGCUGUGAAAGCCCGGGGCUUAACCCCGGGUCUGCAGUGGGUACGGGCAGACUAGAGUGCAGUAGGGGAGACUGGAAUUCCUGGUGUAGCGGUGAAAUGCGCAGAUAUCAGGAGGAACACCGAUGGCGAAGGCAGGUCUCUGGGCUGUUACUGACGCUGAGGAGCGAAAGCAUGGGGAGCGAACAGGAUUAGAUACCCUGGUAGUCCAUGCCGUAAACGUUGGGCACUAGGUGUGGGGGACAUUCCACGUUUUCCGCGCCGUAGCUAACGCAUUAAGUGCCCCGCCUGGGGAGUACGGCCGCAAGGCUAAAACUCAAAGGAAUUGACGGGGGCCCGCACAAGCGGCGGAGCAUGCGGAUUAAUUCGAUGCAACGCGAAGAACCUUACCAAGGCUUGACAUUCACCGGACCGCCCCAGAGAUGGGGUUUCCCUUCGGGGCUGGUGGACAGGUGGUGCAUGGUUGUCGUCAGCUCGUGUCGUGAGAUGUUGGGUUAAGUCCCGCAACGAGCGCAACCCUCGUUCUAUGUUGCCAGCACGUGAUGGUGGGGACUCAUAGGAGACUGCCGGGGUCAACUCGGAGGAAGGUGGGGAUGACGUCAAAUCAUCAUGCCCCUUAUGUCUUGGGCUUCACGCAUGCUACAAUGGCCGGUACAAAGGGUUGCGAUACUGUGAGGUGGAGCUAAUCCCAAAAAGCCGGUCUCAGUUCGGAUUGAGGUCUGCAACUCGACCUCAUGAAGUCGGAGUCGCUAGUAAUCGCAGAUCAGCAACGCUGCGGUGAAUACGUUCCCGGGCCUUGUACACACCGCCCGUCAAGUCACGAAAGUUGGUAACACCCGAAGCCGGUGGCCUAACCCCUUGUGGGAGGGAGCCGUCGAAGGUGGGACUGGCGAUUGGGACUAAGUCGUAACAAGGUAGCCGU
rnacentral:rRNA from 4 species